AUUGAACGCUGGCGGCAGGCCUAACACAUGCAAGUCGAGCGGAUGAAGGGAGCUUGCUCCUGGAUUCAGCGGCGGACGGGUGAGUAAUGCCUAGGAAUCUGCCUGGUAGUGGGGGAUAACGUCCGGAAACGGGCGCUAAUACCGCAUACGUCCUGAGGGAGAUAGUGGGGGAUCUUCGGACCUCUCGCUAUCAGAUGAGCCUAGGUCGGAUUAGCUAGUUUGUGGGGUAAAGGCCUACCAAGGCGACGAUCCGUAACUGGUCUGAGAGGAUGAUCAGUCACACUGGAACUGAGACACGGUCCAGAAUCCUACGGGAGGCAGCAGUGGGGAAUAUAGGACAAUGGGCGAAAGACUGAUCCAGCCAUGCCGCGUGUGUGAAGAAGGUCUUCGGAUUGUAAAGCACUUUAAGUUGGGAGGAAGGGCAGUAAGUUAAUACCUUGCUGUUUUGACGUUACCAACAGAAUAAGCACCGGCUAACUUCGU
rnacentral:rRNA from 1 species